UGGGGAAUAUUGGACAAUGGGGGGAACCCUGAUCCAGCGAUGCCGCGUGGGUGAAGAAGGCCUUCGGGUUGUAAAGCCCUUUAGGUUGGGAAGAAGGGUGAUGGAGGAAAUGCCAUUACUUUGACGGUACCGACAGAAUAAGCACCGGCAAACUCUGUGCCAGCAGCCGCGGUAAUACAGAGGGUGCGAGCGUUAAUCGAAAUUACUGGGCGUAAAGGGCGCGUAGGCGGUUUAGUGAGUGGGAUGUGAAAGCCCUGGGCUUAACCUAGGAAGAGCAUACCAAACGACUAAACUGGAGUAGGGCAGAGGGUGGCGGAAUUUCCGGUGUAGCGGUGAAAUGCGUAGAGAUCGGAAGGAACGUCAAUGGCGAAGGCAGCCACCUGGGCUCAUACUGACGCUGAGGCGCGAAAGCGUGGGGAGCGAACAGGAUUAGAUACCCCGGUAGUCC
rnacentral:rRNA from 1 species